GUGCCAAUGUGAACAUGUAUAGAAUUAAAUUACGUACACGAUAAUCCCUUUUAUAAAUGUAUGGUUAAAUUUAAAGUAGAAUAUAAUAUUAUAAGAUAAUGUAAUGAUUUUCUAUCUAUAAUACAAGAAAGGUCUGUGUGUGUGUGUGUGUGUGUGUGUGUGUGUGUGUGCGUGUGCGUGUGCGUGUGUGUGUGGCAUUAACCAUCCUCCAUACCUCCAGCCCGGCUCCUCCUCCUGCUGUGACCCAGCCUCAGACCCUCCUCCUCCGGCUCUGCCUCCGUCAUCCCUCCGCUCACUGACGGAGACUCUGCGGUACGAUGCGACGGUCCUGCCCCUGGUCCUGGUCCUGGUCCUGGUGCUGGUCCUGGUCCUGCUGAGAGGCUGUGGACCAUGGACACGAGGUGAUGGAGCUGCGCGCGUGAUUAGUGAACGAGGCCCACCGGAAGAACGACGCCAGGCUUCGCGUUAGGACGUUUUACACAAGCUGAGGGAACCCAGGACCCAGGAGGAGCAACGAGGCAAAGUCAGAUUUGAUCACAGGGAAACUUCUGGAUGCGUCAUGAUGUCUGGCGCCCUUUUCUUCCAAAAGUACGUCUGUGGGACUCUGAAUGUGACGGGUUGAGUUUUAUCAGGAGAAUCUACCCCUCACACAUCGAUGCGUCCGACGGCGAGCGCCAUGCUUCAGCAGAACAACAACAACAACUACCCAUGUCUGAGCAUGUCAGCGUCCACGCAAGAGAUGCUCCAGAAAUGCUCCAAAGCAUCGCUGCCUCUGCCCGGCCGCCUGGAGCUGAGCCUGGGAGACCUCCCGCUGAUCCGAGGCCUCCGGGCCUGGGCGCUUUGCUCCAAGAAUCGCCGCAGGACAGGGAACCUGCUGGAGGGAGGACGGGAAGCCCCCGGUCCCAGUCCUCCGUCAGCAUCCUGUCCCAGACCUGCAGACGUGCACCUGAGUAGGGAGUACUGGGGGCUUGGGAUGGACGCCCGGCACGCCAGGAUUGGAGCUCUGGUCACGGUGGCCACCCUGAAAACUUCAGAGGGGGGCGGCCAAACACAGACGCAGUGUCUCUUCCUGCGGACGGAAAAAGGAAGCUGUUUGUACUCGACGAGGAAACCUGGCUCUGCCAUACCACCCGCAAGGGCGAAGGGGUGGCUGGGGGGGGAAACUGGAGGCAAGGACUCUCCGGCCGGGAGGAGGGACGCCGGGGCCGCUACGUCCCUGCACGCUGAAGCAAACUGGGUGAGAGUGCGAUCGGGACGUAGAUGGAGGAAGUCUGGGAAUGUGUCCGACGUGAACAGAGCACGACAACAGAGGAGCAAAGAUGGCGGCGAUGGUCUAAGACUGGUGGAAAAAAGGCAGGACGAGCAACGCAAAGGAAACCUGGACCUCCAAGAGUUAGCAAAGCAGGAGGACCAGCAGAGUCUGGAAGGAGGGGUGAAGUCAAAUGAAUAUCAAAGCACUCACAGGUCCUCUUCUGAAAGCUUCCACGUUGGAACAAAGAGAGACGCUCAGAGCGAGAAGGAGCUGCAAACUUCUCCAAACAAAGACGUCCAUUCACCCAAACACGAGGAUACGAACCACGACGCCUUGAGGUUCCUCUCAGGAAACGAGGAUCCACCUCCUGUUUCAACAGAGAAACUAAAGGUUGAAGACAAAACCUGUGGAGCAGCAACAAAUGGGUCCUCAUCUGUGAGUGAUGGCGAUGGUCUAAGAUUGGCUGGAGAAAGGCAGGAUGACCAACGCAAAGGAAACCUGGACCACCAAGAGUUAGAAAAAUGUCUUGAAGGAGGGAUAGAGUCACACGAAUCUCCUCAAAGCUUCCACAUUGGAACGAAGAGAGAAGCUCAGAGCGAGAAGGAGCUGCAAACUUCUCCAAACAAAGACGUCCAUUCACCCAAACACAAGGAUACGAACCACGACGCCUUGAGGUUCCUCUCAGGAAACAAGGAUCCACCUCUGGAUGCUCCUGUUUCAACAGAGAAACCAAACGCUGAAGAUGAAAUCCAUGGAGGAGCAACACAGGAGGAGAUUUCAUACUGUGCUGAAGGAAAAGAAGAACAUGAGUCCAUGUCUUCAUCCAUGAGCUCUGAGUCCUCAGAGUUUGGUCAGAAUGAGCCAGAUGUCAGUGUUGUGAAGGAAACCCAAGAUGAAAGUCAAAGGUUUUCCUCUAAAACUGAGGUUUCACCUUCACCUGAUGAACGCAGAGGCUGCACGACGGCUCAGCCAAUCCACGAGCAGGAAACCCAGGACGAACUAGAACCUGAUGAAGACGAGAGAACCUGUCGGACCCUAAUAAAGGAUAAUGGAGGAGGAGGAGAAAGGAGGGAGAGGAGAACACAGGAUGAGGAAACAAAGCUCCAGAAACCAGCUGAAAAAAACCAGGAAGCUGACACUGAGCUCUGCGGUCCUCCCACCUCACAUUCCCACAGUUGGGCUAAUCCGGCCACUUUCCCAACACUCCCACUGAGCUCGUUACCAGUAGGGUCCGCAGCAGCAGCAGGAGGAGGUGGGAGGAGCUUAGGGAGCCAGUCUGAGUCUGAGGAGACGACCACGUCCACCGUGGCCUUUGAAAACGCUGAGGAGGAGGAGUUUGGAGUCUUCAUUCAGGCGGAUGGAGAGGUGGACUGGGACCAAGGGUUGAGAACACCAGUGCAUUGUGGGAGCAGAGAGAGCAUGGAACUGGAGCUGGGAAACCCCGCCCCCCUCAGUGAGGAGUCGUCCCAUUGGACACCAGCAGGAUGUAUGGACGGCUCCUUCCACCAAUGGGACGACAGCUGGACGGCGUUUUCUCAGGAUGCGUCAGAAAAAGGCGGAGACGUGGGGCAGUGGUGGCCAAUCAGUGCAGCAGAGCAGAGGAGGGGCGUCAUCUCCACCUCCACCAAUCAGGAUCUGACCUGCGUCUUUGCUCAAGCCUUCCCGUCGCUCUCUUCAUCCCAGUGUGAUUCCUCCGUCCCCACGCUGGGUGUGCUGCUCCGGGGCGGAGCCAGGCACGAUCAGGGGCUAUUGGACGGCUUCCACGACCUCGACAAAAUGAUUGGCCGGAGGUUCAAACGAGCCAACGCUGCCUCGAGGGAUCAACUGCUGAGGACGCUGCAGAUGGAGCCGCUGAAGAACGAGAACAGACACCCUGCUUCACGUCGCCACUCCCCCGGCCUCCCCUCAGCCAAUCAGCACGCACACAGCGCGGUGCCCAAACGUCGGCUCUCGUACGACUCCAACAGGAACGUGACGGCGUGACUUUGUGGUUUGUGGACUCUGACUUUCAUCAGCUGAUCUGAGCUGGUGCAGCGUCGUCACCUGGCGUCUCACUUCCUGUUUACACUUUAUCUCCGUCAUCAUCACCGCUAACAACACAACGUCGUCAUCACACUUGUGUUCAAAUCCAAAUCCUGUUUGAUUCUGUGUCUGAGUGACGACUCCUCACGCCGUUUUUCUCCGUACGCUCUCUGUCCUUUUCCUUUCCUUCACUGAGACGUUGCCAUGGUUUCAUGAUUUCCAUGGAUUAAAAUCCAGUUUGAUCACGUGAUGAGAACACGUGAGUGCACCCGAGUCUGAAGCUUUGUAAACUGUUGAGAUGAAAGAUUAAAAAUAUUAAGUCUAAUUAAAAUGAAUGACAAAAACUGCUGCUGCCACCUAGUGGUUAAAACUCUAAACUACAGGAGUGUGUGAGAGCAUAUGUGUUAAUUUAAAAACAGGAAGUAAUAAACAAAUGCAGAAAAAAUGCGAGUUAGAAAUA
ensembl:lncRNA uncharacterized LOC114474496